UACGGAGGGCGCAAGCGUUGUUCGGAAUCACUGGGCGUAAAGCGCGUGUAGGCGGCUUGGUAAGUCGGGUGUGAAAGCCCGGAGCUCAACUCCGGAACUGCACUCGAAACUGCCUCGCUCGAGUCCCGGAGAGGGUGGUGGAAUUCCCGGUGUAGAGGUGAAAUUCGUAGAUAUCGGGAGGAACACCAGUGGCGAAGGCGGCCACCUGGACGGUGACUGACGCUGAGACGCGAAAGCGUGGGGAGCUAACAGG
rnacentral:rRNA from 1 species